CAUUACCUACGGGGGGCAGCAGUGGGGGAUAUUGCACAAUGGGGGGAACCCUGAUGCAGCGACGCCGCGUGGGUGAAGAAGCGCCUCGGCGCGUAAAGCCCUGUCAGCAGGGAAGAAAAUGACGGUACCUGAAGAAGAAGCCCCGGCUAACUACGUGCCAGCAGCCGCGGUAAUACGUAGGGGGCAAGCGUUAUCCGGAUUUACUGGGUGUAAAGGGAGCGUAGACGGCGGUGCAAGCCAGAUGUGAAAGCCCGGGGCUCAACCCCGGGACUGCAUUUGGAACUGUGCUGCUAGAGUGUCGGAGG
rnacentral:rRNA from 1 species